GGGGGUGACUGGCUUCGACUUCGAUCUUGCAAGCCAGGUGAAGCGGGCCGAGGACUGCGGACAUAACCUCGUUAAUCCUGUGACCGCAAACCAAUAAGUGCCAAUUCCAAGCGCACUGAGGUCAGCCAGGGUUCCCUGGCUCUCGCUGCCUAAGUAGCGAAACCUCUGUCAGCCCGGGAGUGCCUUCGGCCCGGUGUCUGGCAUCGUUAGAAGGCUCAACCGAUCGACCCGGCCACGGGGGAGAUCGGGAAACCAAACAGUGGCUGAGCCCGUCGGCGACUCGCCUGCGUGAUCGCCGGGGCUGAGAAAAGCACAGCAGGCUGCGCCCGGAGAAGCCCUGACUUGGGGUUGAAGGACGCGGGUUCGAUUCCCGCCACCUCCACCA
rnacentral:tmRNA from 1 species